rnacentral:lncRNA from 1 species
UGGUGCACUAUUUAGACAACAUGGCUUUCUCCUUGAGUAGGAGAAAGGUUGGCCACUCCUAAUGGUUGCUGGAGAGUUCUCUUCCACUAGACACUGAGGGACCCAGGUCAACUGAUGCUGUAACAUCU